GGCUAAAAUAGCUCAGUUGGUGGAGCAUGAGGCUCUUAAUCUCAGGGUCAUGGAUUCAAGCCGCACAUUGGGCA